UUUAGAGCAGGAACUAAGAGUCCGUGUGAACUGUCAUUCUUCUGUUUUCUCCGUAAGAGGACGCAGGAAGUACUUUUAAAACUUAUUUUCUCUUUGCGCAGCACAAACCGUUGCUUUCUGCUUCGCGAGCCGCUGCUGUGAUUUCCCGGGACACCGAUCUCCAGGUGUCCCGAGGAGCGCCCUACUUCCUCCGGCUCCGCCAAAUUCAUGCUCCCAACCGAACUACCCUGGAAAGCGUCUGUUCCUAGAACAGAGCCGCGUUCCCCAGAGACCCAGAAGCGCUGGACUCACAGACACCGUGGUUUACAUCCUAAAACAGUGACAUUGCACAGCCACUGAGGAAUCUACGUGAAACCGCAGCCUCAGUAGCCAGGAGACGCUGUUAGAGGAGACUGGUGGGAGAGCCCCAAAGAGCUGGAAAACCCGGACUCCUUUGCCUCUAGAAAGGACCCUCGGGGCACGUGGGUGGCUCAGUAGGUUAAGCGUCCGGCUCAGGUCGUGAUCCCACGGUGAGUUGGCGUGUGGGGCUCUGGGCUGACAGCUCAGAGCCCGGAACCUGCUUCAGGGUCUGUGUCUCCCUCCCUCUCUCUCUCUCUCUCUCUCUCUCUGCCCCUCUGUCGCUCUCUGUC